CCAUUAGUCUUUUUCAAGACUACACAUAUUCAAGAAAGAAAGAUU
rfam:Strongylocentrotus purpuratus Contig86796_fixed, whole genome shotgun sequence.